UACGUAGGGCGCGAGCGUUGUCCGGAAUUAUUGGGCGUAAAGAGCUCGUAGGCGGCCUGUUGCGUCCGCUGUGAAAUCCCGGGGCUUAACCCCGGGCUUGCAGUGGAUACGGGCAGGCUGGAGGCAGGCAGGGGAGAACGGAAUUCCCGGCGUAGCGGUGAAAUGCGCAGAUAUCAGGAGGAACACCGGUGGCGAAGGCGGUUCUCUGGGCCUGUACUGACGCUGAGACGCGAAAGCGUGGGGAGCAAACAGG
rnacentral:rRNA from 1 species